UGGUCGGGAGCACGCCAUUGGGUCGGCGCGCAGGAAUAGACCUCUAACCCCCUCUUUCGUAAGGGCGCAGUUGCCGGAACCCAACAGCGGCUGUG
rfam:Aquimixticola soesokkakensis strain CECT 8620 genome assembly, contig: 0001